rnacentral:rRNA from 1 species
AGAUUAAGUUAUUAAGGGCGCACGGUGGAUGCCUUGGCACUAGAAGCCGAUGAAGGACGUUACUAACGACGAUAUGCUUUGGGUAGCUGUAAGUAAGCGUUGAUCCAGAGAUUUCCGAAUGGGGAAACCCAGCACAAGUUAUGUUGUGUUAUCGACAAGUGAAUUCAUAGCUUGUCAGAAGGCAGACCCGGAGAACUGAAACAUCUUAGUACCCGGAGGAAGAGAAAGAAAAUUCGAUUCCCUGAGUAGCGGCGAGCGAAACGGGAAGAGCCCAAACCAAUAAGCUUGCUUAUUGGGGUUGUAGGACACUCUAUACGGAGUUACAAAGGAAUAUAUUAAACGAAUCAUCUGGAAAGUUGAAUCAAAGAAGGUAAUAAUCCUGUAGUUGAAAAUAUAUUCUCUCUUGAGUGGAUCCUGAGUACGACGGAGCACGUGAAAUUCCGUCGGAAUCUGGGAGGACCAUCUCCUAAGGCUAAAUACUCUCUAGUGACCGAUAGUGAACCAGUACCGUGAGGGAAAGGUGAAAAGUACCCCGGAAGGGGAGUGAAAGAGAACUUGAAACCGUGUGCUUACAAGUAGUCAGAGCCCGUUAAUGGGUGAUGGCGUGCCUUUUGUAGAAUGAACCGGCGAGUUACGAUCUGAUGCAAGGUUAAGCAGAAAAUGUGGAGCCGUAGCGAAAGCGAGUCUGAAUAGGGCGUG